CAAGAUGUUUUGGAGACAUUUUUUGGUCGAAUCCGUUAAAAAACAUUCUAUUCAAUGAAUGAUGACAGAAUUGUCUGACUGAAAGAAGUUUUUAUACCCUAGUUUUGAAUUGAAAAAAUGCAGUUAAUGAUCGCCAGAAGCCCAAUGGAGAAACUUAUGCAACAACCGAAAAAGCGAAUUUCAAGGACUCCUUAUGACAACAAAAUCUUUUAUUGGAAUUUUGGAUUACAUGCUCGGUCUCGGUGCUGAAUAUGUUUUUUCUUGCGGAUUUCACAAGAUGUUUUGGAGACAUUUUUUGGUCGAAUCCGUUAAGGAGGUGGAAGCAAUAGAAAUCCUACUGUGUCGCAUUUCGCCAACCACAUGCAAUUGCUAAAAUGUUACCCGUAACAUGCAACAUAGUGAUACAGGUGGUAAUAUUGGUACCAUUUCCUAGUCCCCUGAACCAACUUGAUUAUUCAUAUUAUACUGAGCACAGUACAAAUGCUACAGUGGGUAUCAUAGUAGGGCCGAAAUUUCCAUGACCUCUCAUUGCAAAGUUUUGCCAUUCACACAAUUCCACGGUAUCGAUGACGACACUCU